rnacentral:rRNA from 1 species
CGUAGGGUGCGAGCGUUAAUCGGAAUUACUGGGCGUAAAGCGUGCGCAGGCGGUUUUGUAAGACAGAUGUGAAAUCCCCGGGCUCAACCUGGGACCUGCAUUUGUGACUGCAAGGCUAGAGUACGGUAGAGGGGGAUGGAAUUCCGCGUGUAGCAGUGAAAUGCGUAGAUAUGCGGAGGAACACCGAUGGCGAAGGCAAUCCCCUGGACCUGUACUGACGCUCAUGCACGGAAGCGUGGGGAGCAAACAGGAUUAGAUACCCUGGUAGUCCACGCCCUAAACGAUGUCAACUGGUUGUUGGGUCUUUACUGACUCAGUAACGAAGCUAACGCGUGAAGUUGACCGCCUGGGGAGUACGGCCGCAAGGUUG